rnacentral:rRNA from 1 species
UACAGAGGGUGCAAGCGUUAAUCGGAAUUACUGGGCGUAAAGCGUGCGUAGACGGUUAUGUAAGUCAGAUGUGAAAGCCCGGGGCUCAACCUUGGAAUUGCAUUUGAGACUGCAUAGCUAGGGUGCGGAAGAGGGAAGCGGAAUUUCCGGUGUAGCGGUGAAAUGCGUAGAUAUCGGAAGGAACACCAGUGGCGAAAGCGGCUUCCUGGUCCAGCACCGACGUUCAGGCACGAAAGCGUGGGGAGCAAACAGG